rnacentral:rRNA from 1 species
UACGGGGGGGGCAAGCGUUGUUCGGAAUUACUGGGCGUAAAGGGCGCGUAGGCGGCCUUCUAAGUCGGACGUGAAAUCCCUCGGCUCAACCGAGGAACUGCGUCCGAUACUGAAAGGCUUGAAUCCGGGAGAGGGAUGUGGAAUUCCAGGUGUAGCGGUGAAAUGCGUAGAUAUCAGGAAGAACACCCGUGGCGAAAGCGGCUCUCUGGAACGGUACUGACGCUGAGACGCGAAAGCGUGGGGAGCGAACAGG